rnacentral:rRNA from 1 species
GAUUCCCUAGUAACUGCGAGUGAAGCGGGAAAAGCUCAAAUUUUGAAUCUGGCGGUCCGUUUGUUUGGCCUUCCGAAUUGUAAUCUGUAUUCCCGUCUUCCCCGCUGGACCGUGCCCUGGUCUCCGGGAAGGGAGCAGCUGAAAAGGUGAGAAUCCCGUCUUUGACACCGACCUCCGUGGCUUAUGUGUUGCGCUCUCAACAAGUCGGGUUGUUUGGGAAUGCUGCUCGGAAUGGGUGGUAAAUUCCUUCUAAAGCUGAAUACAGCCAAGACACCCAUAUUGAACGAGUACCGUAAGGGAAACAUCUUAAAAACUUUGUUAAGAGAGUUUAACAUUACCUGAAAUUGCUCAAAGGGAAUCGCUUGAUGUCCUUUCGCGUUGAUUAGGGGUCUACCUUUUCUGUGUAAUUCCUACUUGACGGGUCAGCUUCGUUUUCUGUCACCGUACUAUGGCGGGGGGAAAGUCCCACUUUGUUUAAUGUCUUAUAGAUCCUCAUCAGAUGCUCGCCGUUGGAACUGAGGAAGCUCGCUCGGAUUCUCUUUUGUGUAAUGGAUGCUGGCGAUAUGGCAUUAAUCGACCCAUCUUGAACCUCUGACAACAGAGUCUAACGUGUCUGCGAGUGUUUGGAUUUGUUA